ensembl:lncRNA novel transcript
AGGCCACCGAGGUCCAAGCCGCACUUGCUGCCCCAUUGAGGACGAGGAGGCAGCAGGAGCAGUGACGGUGACUCUAAGGAGCCGGAUUCCCGGCACGCAGAGCUGACCUGCCUGGCACCCGCGGCCCUCUCCUGUUUCCUUCCCAUUGUGUUGGAUAAGCCAGCUGCAGAAUAUAUCCUGAGGUACCUGCUUUAUGGAAUUAUUCACACUAUUCACCAACAGGAAGAAUAAAGUCAAUCAAUUCAAGGAGUCUCAGAACAGGAGCACAUAGACACCAAACUUUGUGGGACAACAAAUAUAAUGAAGAGUAUGUUUGCGUCUUUCAAACAAAGAAAUGUUAUGAGAAUGACUUGGAUGAGCUGAAAAAUGAAUGAUCUCCUUGAACAAGGCUUGCCUGGAAUUUCGCUUUGCUGCAGAGACAUCUGGAAAUGUGGAUUGAGGGUGGAAAUAAAAUGAAGAUGUCCUGGAAACUUCCAACUGAUCCUUGGGUCUAAUUGGUGUGGGAUAUGCAGCACAAGCGUGAGAAGCCAUGAAGUGAGAGCCCCAACAGGGGCUCAGAGUCAAAAACCUAGAUAUUAGCUCCCAAAGUCCUUCCGAAUCUGCUCCAGCUCCCCACAUCACUCCUAGCUGCCCUUGGCCCUCUCCACCUUUCCCCUCCCGAUUCCUUGGAAAAUAAGCGUUCCUCCCCCACCCCCACCCCCAGCUCUACGAACACAAUAGAGAAGAAAAAAUUGUCUUUUAAGAUAAUUUCCUCCAAAUCCUUCUCAGUUUCAACUGCAUGAAGACAAAAUGCAGGCUGUCAAUUCGAUGAACAGAUUGUGAUUAGGCUGGGGGAGGCUAGAAUUGUAAUAAUUUUAUAGCUACAAUAAUAAAGACCCAGAAGUGGGCAAGACCUAUGCAAGUUCACAGACUAGGUUAAAGAAAAGGCCAGCGUUGAAGAUGUGGGUGAUUUCCAAGAAGGAUAAUCGACUUCGAGACAAGUCAAGAACACGAUCUGGGAAUCAGCUCCCUUGACCUAGAGGCCGGUGUCCUCCCAUGGAUGGCCUUUAAAACAACUGGCUGGCAUAUAAUAAGAGGGGCACCUGUUGGAAGACUCCGGAGAAGGAAGACGCAUCUGAAAUUUGGUGCCAUGACUCGAAUCGGGGGACCUCCCUUGGAAGAUCAAUCCCCUGUCCUCCUGCUCUUUACUCCAUGAGAAAGAUCCACCUACAACCUCUGGUCCUCAGGCCAACCAGCCCAAGGAACAUCUCACCAAUUUUAUAUCCGGUACCCACUGGAAAUUGGACUCUCCAACUCACCCGGCAGCCACUCCCAGAGCCACUGGAACUCUGGCCCAACGCUCUCUGACUGACUCCUUCCCAGAUCAUCUCAGCUUAGCGGCUGAAGAUUGAUGCUGCCCAAUCACCUCAGAAGCUUCCUGGACCAUCACAUACGCUUUGGGUAACUCUUACAGUGGAGGGGUGGCCUUGGCAAAAGAGGAAGUCAAAUCUGGAACCAAGGGGUCCCAGCCCAUGUCCCCCUCUGAUUUCCUAGACAAACUUAUGGGGCGAACAUCUGGAUAUGAUGCCAGGAUUCGGCCCAAUUUUAAAGCAGUGCCCUGGCCUGCAGCUCAGGGAAGGAGUUCUGGAAGCUGCUCCCAGCCUCCUGGAAUGCCCUGCCAAUGGCCUGUGCUUUGCUACCCUCAGGCCCACCCGUGAACGUGACCUGCAACAUCUUCAUCAACAGUUUCAGCUCCAUCACCAAGACCACAAUGGACUACCGGGUGAAUGUCUUCUUGCGGCAACAGUGGAAUGACCCACGCCUGUCCUACCGAGAAUAUCCUGAUGACUCUCUGGACCUCGAUCCCUCCAUGCUGGACUCUAUCUGGAAGCCAGACCUCUUCUUUGCUAAUGAGAAAGGGGCCAACUUCCAUGAGGUGACCACGGACAACAAGUUACUGCGCAUCUUCAAGAAUGGGAAUGUGCUGUACAGCAUCAGGUGCACCGGGUGGAUAGCCAGGAGAGUUUGCGUUAAGGGGAAGAAUUUGGAUGAAGACUGAGGGGUGGGAGGAGGGUUCCCUUGCACUGUGAUGGGCCCCAGUAAGCCGAUGUCACUUCUUUCUUACUGUCCCCACUAGGCUGACCCUCAUUUUGUCCUGCCUGAUGGACCUCAAGAACUUCCCCAUGGACAUCCAGACCUGCACGAUGCAGCUUGAGAGCUUUGGCUACACCAUGAAAGACCUCGUGUUUGAGUGGCUGGAAGAUGCUCCUGCUGUCCAAGUGGCUGAGGGGCUGACUCUGCCCCAGUUUAUCUUGCGGGAUGAGAAGGAUCUAGGCUGUUGUACCAAGCACUACAACACAGGGAAAUUCACCUGCAUCGAGGUAAAGUUUCACCUGGAACGGCAGAUGGGCUACUAUCUGAUUCAGAUGUACAUCCCCAGCCUACUCAUCGUCAUCCUGUCCUGGGUCUCCUUCUGGAUCAACAUGGAUGCUGCCCCUGCCCGUGUGGGCCUGGGCAUCACCACCGUGCUCACCAUGACCACCCAGAGCUCUGGCUCCCGGGCCUCUUUGCCUAAGGUGUCCUACGUGAAGGCAAUCGACAUCUGGAUGGCUGUGUGUCUGCUCUUUGUGUUCGCUGCCUUGCUGGAGUAUGCUGCCAUAAAUUUUGUUUCUCGUCAGCAUAAAGAAUUCAUACGACUUCGAAGAAGGCAGAGGCGCCAACGCUUGGAGGAAGAUAUCAUCCAAGAAAGUCGUUUCUAUUUCCGUGGCUAUGGCUUGGGCCACUGCCUGCAGGCAAGAGAUGGAGGUCCAAUGGAAGGUUCUGGCAUUUAUAGUCCCCAACCUCCAGCCCCUCUUCUAAGGGAAGGAGAAACCACGCGGAAACUCUACGUGGACUGAGCCAAGAGAAUUGACACCAUCUCCCGGGCUGUCUUCCCUUUCACUUUCCUCAUCUUCAAUAUCUUCUACUGGGUUGUCUAUAAAGUGCUAUGGUCAGAAGAUAUCCACCAGGCUCUGUGAAUAGGGUGGGAGC